rnacentral:rRNA from 1 species
GAUGAACGCUGGCGGCGUGCCUAAUACAUGCAAGUCGAACGGAGAAUUAGUAAUAGUUCUUAGUGGCGAACGGGUGAGUAACGCGUUGGUGACCUGCCCCGAAGAGUGGGAUAACAGAUCGAAAGGUCUGCUAAUACCACAUGUGGUCGUAGGAGUUAGAGGAUUUACGACUAAAAGGAGCGAUUCGCUUCGGGAGGGGCCUGCGUCCCAUCAGCUAGUUGGUAGGGUAAAAGCCUACCAAGGCGAAGACGGGUAGGGGACCUGAGAGGGUGACCCCCCACACUGGCACUGAAACACGGGCCAGACACCUACGGGUGGCAGCAGUAGGGAAUAUUGCACAAUGGGCGAAAGCCUGAUGCAGCAACGCCGCGUGCGCGAAGAAGGCCUUCGGGUUGUAAAGCGCUUUUCGGGGAGAAGAGGAAGGACGGUAUCCCCGGAAUAAGGCUCGGCUAACUACGUG